rnacentral:rRNA from 1 species
AGUGAACGCUGGCGGUAGGCCUAACACAUGCAAGCCGAACGGCAGCACAGUAAUAGCUUGCUCUUACGGGUGGCGAGUGGCGGACGGGUGAGGAAUACAUCGGAAUCUACUUUUUCGUGGGGGAUAACGUAGGGAAACUUACGCUAAUACCGCAUACGACCUACGGGUGAAAGCAGGGGAUCUUCGGACCUUGCGCGAUUGAAUGAGCCGAUGUCGGAUUAGCUAGUUGGCGGGGUAAAGGCCCACCAAGGCGACGAUCCGUAGCUGGUCUGAGAGGAUGAUCAGCCACACUGGAACUGAGACACGGUCCAGACUCCUACGGGAGGCAGCAGUGGGGAAUAUUGGACAAUGGGCGCAAGCCUGAUCCAGCCAUACCGCGUGGGUGAAGAAGGCCUUCGGGUUGUAAAGCCCUUUUGUUGGGAAAGAAAAGCAGCAGGUUAAUACCCCGCUGUUCUGACGGUACCCAAAGAAUAAGCACCGGCUAACUUCGUG